rnacentral:rRNA from 1 species
AUUGAACGCUGGCGGCAGGCCUAACACAUGCAAGUCGAGCGGGGGUAGCAAUACCCUAGCGGCGAACGGGUGAGGAAUGCUUGGGAAUCUGCCUCGUAGUGGGGGAUAACGUUCCGAAAGGAACGCUAAUACCGCAUACGUCCUACGGGAGAAAGGGGGGGAUCUUCGGACCUCUCGCUAUGAGAUGAGCCCAAGCGGGAUUAGCUAGUUGGUGAGGUAAAGGCUCACCAAGGCGACGAUCCCUAGCUGGUCUGAGAGGAUGAUCAGCCACACUGGAACUGAGACACGGUCCAGACUCCUACGGGAGGCAGCAGUGGGGAAUAUUGGACAAUGGGCGCAGGCCUGAUCCAGCCAUGCCGCGUGUGUGAAGAAGGCCUUCGGGUUGUAAAGCACUUUAAGCGAGGAGGAAGGUUCGUUACUUAAUACGUAACGGGAUUGACGUUACUCGCAGAAUAAGCACCGGCUAACUCUGUGCCAGCCGCCGCCGUAAAAC